rnacentral:antisense_RNA from 1 species
CUUGAUGGUGGCUGUGCGCAGGGCGCUUCGGCGCGCCGAUUUCUUGGCUCAUCGGUCUGCUAACCUGCGCGCAGCUGCCUCCCUU